GGCAGGUGAGGUGUGGGAGACGGGACUAUUCUGGCAGGUGAGGUGUGGGAGACGGGACUGAUCUGGCAGGUGAGAGGUGGGAGACGGGACUGAUCUGGCAGGUGAGGUGUGGGAGACGGGACUGAUCUGGCAGGUGAGGUGUGGGAGACGGGACUGAUCUGGCAGGUGAGGUGUGGGAGACGGGACUGAUCUGGCAGGUGAGGUGUGGGAGACGGGACUGAUCUGGCAGGUGAGGUGUGGGAGACGGGACUGAUCUGGCAGGUGAGGUGUGGGAGACGGGACUGAUCUGGCAGGUGAGGUGUGGGAGACGGGACUGAUCUGGCAGGUGAGGUGUGGGAGACGGGACUGAUCUGGCAGGUGAGGUGUGGGAGAAGGGACUGAUCUGGCAGGUGAGGUGUGGGACAAGGGACUAUUCUGGCAGAUGAGGUGUGGGAGACGGGACUGAUCUGGCAGGUGAGGUGUGGGAGAAGGGACUAUUCUGGCAG
ensembl:lncRNA